rnacentral:tRNA from 1 species
AGUAGAAUGGCUGAGUAAAUAGGUGAUAGAUUGUAAAUCUAUUAAAGGGUUAAUUAACUCUUCUACUA